UACGGAGGGGGCUAGCGUUGUUCGGAAUUACUGGGCGUAAAGCGCACGUAGGCGGCUUUGCAAGUUAGAGGUGAAAGCCCGGGGCUCAACUCCGGAAUUGCCUUUAAAACUGCAUCGCUAGAAUUGUGGAGAGGUAAGUGGAAUUCCGAGUGUAGAGGUGAAAAUUCGUAGAUAUUCGGAAGAACACCAGUGGCGAAGGCGACUUACUGGACACAUAUUGACGCUGAGGUGCGAAAGCGUGGGGGAGCAAACAGG
rnacentral:rRNA from 1 species